UGUGCGGGACCUUUGUGUGAUA
rnacentral:siRNA from 1 species